rnacentral:rRNA from 1 species
AUUGAACGCUGGCGGCAUGCCUUACACAUGCAAGUCGAACGGCAGCGCGGGGGCAACCCUGGCGGCGAGUGGCGAACGGGUGAGUAAAAUAUCGGAACGUGCCCUAAAGUGGGAGAUAACGUAGCGAAAGUUACGCUAAUACCGCAUAAGAUCUAAGGAUGAAAGCGGGGGAUCGCAAGACCUCGUGCUUUAGGAGUGGCCGAUAACUGAUUAGCUAGUUGGUGGGGUAAAGGCUCACCAAGGCGACGAUCAGUAGCUGGUCUGAGAGGACGACCAGCCACGCUGGGACUGAGACACGGCCCAGACUCCUACGGGAGGCAGCAGUGGGGAAUUUUGGACAAUGGGGGCAACCCUGAUCCAGCAAUGCCGCGUGUGUGAAGAAGGUCUUCGGGUUGUAAAGCACUUUUGUUCGGGACGAAACGGUUUGGGCUAAUACCCUGAGCUAAUGACGGUACCGAAAGAAUAAGCACCGGCUAACUACGUGCCAGCCGCCGCAGUAA